CGUUUCUUCUCUGUCCCCCAGUGCGUGUCGGCGUCGAGGUCGUAGCGCACGUACACGCCGAAGAGAACCACCAUGGCCACCUCCAGCAGCAGGCAGUUCAUAUAGGGCACACGGAAAAACAAGGGAAGCAAGAAACUGCCACAGACCAGAGAAGCCUGGGGCCACGGGACCAGGAACAACUCAAGGCCACGUGGCACCCUGGAGUGGACCCCAGAACAGAAAGAGGAUGUCAAUGGGAAACCUGGUGAAAUCCGAAUAAAGUCUUCAGCCCACAGCGAUGCUCCCACGCUGGGUUCUUACUUGGGACAAGCGAACGGCGGCUACCCUCUCUUCCACCCUAGUGCCCUCCCGGCCACCUCGCUGACAGUCCCUGUCCCCUGUGUGAGCUGCGGCACCCCGAAGACUGUGGGGCCCUCACCUUGUGCCCCCUGCACAAUAUUCGAGAAGGAGGUGAGACCACAGCCAGGAGCAGCAGCUUCAAACCUCAGCUGUGCAGGUUCUGUGGGCCCAGUUACUCCAGGUCCAAGCUGAGGGGUGGGCUAGGGCAGGGAACCUUUGGGACCAGGUGGGUGCGGUACACACAGCCCUCUGGAGUUAUCCGUUCCCAAGGGAGGACAUGAACUCCUUUAAGGGCUAAUGAUUUAUUUAUAAGUCUCUCCCCUGCCCACGACACCGCGUAAGGCACAGAGCAGGAACUUGGGAGUGUUCUGGAAGGACGGAAGAAGGAAUGAAUAAUAUUCUUUUAGCACCUAGUAUGUGUUCCAGGCACUGUUCUAGGAGCUGGGAUACGGCAGUGAACAAAAGAGGUGACAGUCCUUGUCCUCGUGGGGCUGGCACUCUAGAGGGUUGAGGGAAGUUGACAAAAAGUGAAAACAAUGGAUAAGUAGAGCAGGGGUAUGUAUGUGGCAGGGUGACAAACGCAGGGGCAGGGGGAGGAAAGUGGGAGAGAGGGCAGGAGUACCAGGCACACGGGGUGGCGAAGGAAGGCCACGCUGAGGCAGGGAGGGAGGGAACGUGGAUUCCUCUGCCGUGCUCCUGCCCAGCCGGGCCCUGGCCUGGAGAGGGUGCCCCUCGCCCCGCAGCAGUUUGAUGCUUCCGCCCUUUCCUGAACGCCCCAGGCAGCUGUCCCCUUCCUUGGCUGCCCUGGUCCUAGUGGUGGACCAAGCUCUCAGUUUCUGACCUGGAGUGGCCAGCGAUUUUAUUUCCGGAGAAAAAAAUGGCUACUGUUCCAGAAGCCUAGGAAAAACGGCCCCACCUGGGACAUUUUGUCUGCAGCUCACAUAAGGCCACCUGUCAGGAGAGGCCCAGAAGCUCUGCAGAGCGCCUGUCCUUGUGGGCUGGGGCCAGGGGGGCAGGGCUGAUAGGAUGGCGACCCAGUGGAGAUCUCUCUCCCCACCCU